GGAGUGCUGGAGUUCCAGGUGUGUUCUACAUUGCCCAGCAUGCAUGCUCCUGAGGAUCAAAUCCAGGUCUUCUUGAACACUAACUAGCAACUCCUUCUACAGGGACGUGUUCUCCUCAUGCACAGAAGCCCUGUUCAAACAUUACCAAGAAGACUGAUAAGAAGAAAAAGCAUGCACUGCUGCUGAUUCAUGGAGAAAUCACCGAAUUUGACUCAGUUCCAAGUUUGGGCUCAAGACCAAAGAAGCCUCAACUCCAUAAGCCAUGACUUAUCCACAGAUACCCCAGUAUGAAGGAAAUGCUAGCUUUUGUAUGUUACUAAAAUCUCAAGAGCUACUGUUGUGUGGUUUUAAUUGCUGUCCGAUAGGAGGACCUGGAAUCUAGCAGCAAUGAAAGUUAUGUAAGUUCUCAUUGAACUAUAUACAUAUUAAGAUCAAUCUGGCCCUUAAUUGUGUUUGCUAAACCCAGCAUAAAGUCUUGGCCAAAUACUUUACAUAUUUACAUACUGUUCAUAUGUAUGUAUGAACAACGUUGUAUUCGGGUAUGAUUGUUUAUCAUGGGUGUCUAGAAGCCACAUAUAUAGGCUUACAAUGGCAGCAUGAGAAGAGGCUUACACAAACCUGGAUGUAGUAUUUCCCAACAUCAAUCAAUGCAGCCCCUCCUUCUCCCCGAGUAUAUUUUCAUUGCAUGUUGUAAAGAAAUGCUUAAGGAAAUUGAUGCUCUAUU